rnacentral:piRNA from 1 species
UAUCCUAGUGCUGAGAAUGUGCUUAAGUUA